rnacentral:rRNA from 1 species
UACAGAGGGUGCAAGCGUUGUUCGGAAUUAUUGGGCGUAAAGGGCGCGUAGGCGGUCCGGCAAGUCUCCAGUGAAAUCUCUGGGCUCAACCCAGAGCCUGCUGGGGAAACUGCCGGGCUGGAGCGUGGGAGAGGUGAGUGGAAUUCCCGGUGUAGCGGUGAAGUGCGUAGAUAUCGGGAGGAACACCUGUGGCGAAAGCGGCUCACUGGACCACAACUGACGCUGAGGCGCGAAAGCUAGGGGAGCAAACAG